rnacentral:RNase_P_RNA from 2 species
UGAGACCUCUUGAUGGUCGCGGCAUUAUACAAGGUAUAAUGCUGAGGAACUUCCGGGCUCCACAGAGCACGAUGGCGGAUAACGUCCGCCCAGGGCAACCUGAGAGAUAGCGCAACAGAAAGCAAACCGCUGUCUUGUUCUCCUUUCCACCGAGUGUGGGAACUGCUGAAAGCAGGGAGGAAGACAGGAUAGUAAGGGUGAAACGGCGGUGUAAGAGACCACCAAGUCGAUGGCAACAUUAGACUGUUAGGCAAGCCUCAUCGGGAGCAAGGCCAAGUAGGAGACGAUAAGAGCUGCUCGUUCGAGUCUCCGGGUAGGCUGCUGGAGCCUAGCGGCAACGUUAGGUCGAGAUGGAUGACCAUCCGUUUAACGACAGAACCCGGGGUAUAAGAGGUCUCACUUU